UUAGGCGUUAGGGUUCUGUUAAAUCUAACCAGCCAUGGGUGGGUGUUUGGUGUUUCCAUAGUUAAAGGGGGGACAUUUGAGAAUACGCUAAACCUUGGGUGGGAAAUAGUCAUUUGGCCUUAGUAAUAUACCAUCUUGUUUCAGGCAGGUUGGGCCUUCUACAUUUUUCAGUUCAAAGCAAUUUGAAGUGUUUGAUGUCGAAAUGCUCAGCGUUCAGGAUUGUCAAAGGACCAUCGGAUUUUACUCUGAUGUUGUGUGCAGUUAACAGUUUAUCAGUCAGUUUGUGAAACUGGCCAAAAACCAUAAUCUGGUUCUGAUUCUCAAGCAAUGCAAUGUGUUCUUUCAAGUCGAGCUCAAUUUCAAACAAUGGAAUGAUUAUAAGUUCCAACAAAUCUUAGAAGAAUAUCGAAUAUUUGGUCAAAA